rnacentral:misc_RNA from 1 species
GAUGAAGAACGCAGUGAAAUGCGAUAAGUAAUGUGAAUUGCAGAAUUCAGUGAAUCAUCGAAUCUUUGAACGCACAUUGCGCCCGCCAGUAUUCUGGCGGGCAUGCCUGUUCGAGCGUCAUUUCAACCAUCAAGCCCCCGGCUUUGUUGGGGACCUGCGGCUGCCGCAGGCCCUGAAAAGCAGUGGCGGGCUCGCUGUCACACCGAGCGUAGUAGAUUUCAUCUCGCUCAGGGCGUGCUGCGGGUUCCGGCCGUUAAACCACCUUCAUAACCCAAGGUUGACCUCGGAUCAGGUAGGAAGACCCGCUGAACUUAAGCAUAUCAAUAAGCGGAGGA